UNCAAUGCGCACCUAUGUAAGCACACACA
rnacentral:piRNA from 1 species